CGGGGCCGCGCUCGGCCGGGAUCGGGGCCGCUUCGUCCUUCCCCUGUCUCCCCUCGGCAGCGCUGUUCUGUGGGGCUGUUAGGUCCCAAGCCCAGGCCUUGCCUAGAUAUUUAUCACUAUUGAUCACCAUGGGGCAAUGAGAAAGACAGUAUGGCACAGAAGACAUCUUGAGGACCCGGAGAGCGAUUCUGAAUAGGCAUCUACCUAAACUGAUUAACAAUCCUGAGCCCGUUUGCCUGCUGUUCCUGUGAAGGCAAAGCACCGUUCCAUGGCAAGGAAUUGAGAUUUUCCUCUUCUCUCUUCCUCCUAAAACUAAAUGUUCAGAUGUUUAUGACCUCCUGGCGUGAAACCGGUUAAAAACGCCUGCGCCCAUAAAGGUGUAUCGGACGAGGCCGACUCAUUUCUAGGUUCCCAAAGUGCCAGAUGUGUGCCAGAUGUGUGCCAGCUGUGGCACGCAACAAUUUCAAACAGCCGUAGAUGCAUCUCUGGGCUGCAGUGGAGAGGAGCGUUCGCGUGUAGCUCAUCUGUAGCUGAUCCGCAAGGCAAAUGCUCUCACAAAAGUGGCUCCCCGCUAUCAGUAAUGGCCGGCACUCGGAGCUUUCUCCUGCAGCUGAGGCCGUCACCUUUCCGUAGCUGCCUGCUGACCCGAGCGGCAGGGACAGUGUUUUGUGCAGGCAGCGAUCACGGGUUUCACGGUACAUGGAAAUUGGACCAUUCGUGGAAUCAGUUUGACAUCCUCUGUAUCCGUAGCAACAAUUAUCUCCAAAGUAAACUUUUUCUGAAGUGUUGCAUGUGACAUCUCAGCUCAGGAAGCUGUCACCUGAUCUCCAUGGCUUUUUAAGUGUUGUGUCUCAGCUCUGCGAUACACUGUCCUAGAAAUUCCAACUAGUUAAGAGCUGCCGAAUGGAAUUCGAGACUGCAAGUGUUGGAAUACAAUUGAGUAAGCAUUUAUUGAGAUGUAAUGUUCAGUUAUGAACUCAUGCAAUUCAUGUCUUUUAAAGGAAGAAAGAACAAUAAGCAAGAACCAAAUUGGAAAAUUGGAAAAUAUUCCAUAGUGCUUGUGAAUAGAGUCAGUAGAGGCAGGAGCAGAUUCAGUAGAGAUAAUAGAGUUGUGUGUGGAGAGGGGGCUUCAUAUUUAGGAACAAAUUUUGGAUGGAUGGUUUAGCUUAUAUACAGAGACCAAACUUACUUUGGGAAUAUAAAUGUAGUUAUGGGACUUAUACCAAAGCAGGCCAUGUGAAUAAUUUAGGCUUUAAAUAUGCCCUUCUUUUGAUUCUUACUCUUUCUGGAACAUCAAAAUAUUAAAAAAAGGGAGAUCACACAUUUCUUUCAGAUCUUUGUAUUUUUAAAAUAGUGUUAUCUGUAUAUUUUAAUUUAACUGUCUGAUUCCAGAGGUUUUGACCAUGACAUAAUAUUAACCUAUAAUGCAAAACAAUUUGCAAGCACUAAGGUUCCUUAAAAUCACAGAACCACAGAAUGGCUGAGGUUGGAAUGGACCUCUGGAGGCCAUCUGGCCCACCCCCUGCUCAAGCAGGGACACCUAGAGCAGGCUGUCCAGGACCAGAGAGUUUUUGAAUAUCUCCGAGAAUGGAGUCUCCACAAGUUCUUGGGGAAACUUAAGUCAGUUCUUGGUCACUCUCACAGUAAAAAAAAAAAUAAAGUUCAAUGUCCAGAGGGAGCCUCCAGUGUUUCUGUGUGGGCCCAUAGUUUUGUCACUGAGCAUUACUGAGAAGAACCUGGCUCCAUCUGCUAUGCACCUGCCCUUCAGGUAUUUAUAUACAUUGAUGGGAUCCCCUCUGAGCCAUUUCUGAUGCAGGCUGAAGGGCUCCAGAUCUCGAAGGCUUUCUUCACAGAAAAGAUGCUCCAGUCCCUUCGUCACCCUGGUGGCUCUCUGCUGGACUCUCUCCCUUGAGUUUAUAUUUCUCCUGUACUCUCCUGUACAGAAUAUAUAUUGAAUGUAGGAAAUGUGUCUUUCAGAAAUACUAGGGCUUUAUUACUUAGGUGAACAAAUCACAUGGACUGUCCUGUUGACUAAAACACUUGAAUGCUAGUUUUAAGAUUUACUUUUUCAUUUUAACAUUCUUAAACCUUAAGGGCCUAUAACAACAGUAAUGGUUAGGACUAUUUUCUGGAUCCUGCAGAAUAUUAUUUUUUGUCAAAGAGCUGUAUUUAAAGAGGCAGAAAUAGUGCUCUAAAUAGCACUUAAUCAAAAUAUUUUCAAAUUUACAUUUAAAAGGAAGUAUUGCUUCAGACCUUUUUUAGGAAAAAAGAAACUUAAUUACUGUUAGUCAGCAAACUUACAACAGUUUAAACUUUGUUCCACCAUGAAAAUUGGCCAAGAAAAUAUUCUUCUUGGUAACAACAGCUCUUGCAAGCCCAGUUCUGUGAAAAGUUGUCUUGAAGGAUGGCAUUUGAAUUCAGACAAGUCUGAACUUAAUUGCACGAAGGCAAGCAGUCCAAGACUGUUAGCAAUUUUAAUCUUGUUUUUCAUUCAUUAUUCAAUCAAUGGCCAGCAAAUAAGAAAGUACAGUAUUUAUCUUUACAUUUCUUCACCUGUAUAAGCCUAUUCAAAUUUUUAAGGUUUCUUAUGGAACUUUCAGAGUAGGUAGAUUUCAGAACUAAGUUAAUUUUAUCGUAAUAAAGAUACAUAAACCAAAUACUUAUAUUGGUUAAAAUACAAAUAUUUAUAUUACAUUUAUAGUACAUAAUUUUGUACUAUUUUAAGUAAAUAUGGCUGUUACUAUUUUAUUUGCUAUACCAUAUAAAGAAUUUAAAAAUUAAACAGCAGAACUUUGGCUUGGUUUUCUUCAUCUUUUCUUCUCCUUUUUUUUAGGCAACACAGGCAAUGCCACAGCCAUCAUUAGUAGGAACACUGGGCUACUUUUAAGAUUUUGUAGCCAAAUGUAGAUUUUCAAUUACACUGUCAUCAUCUUUGUUCAGUGUGCAUAUACACGUGUACAGUUUUGCAAACCUGCCCUUUGGAUAUGUCCUAAUACCGUGCAGGUGUGUCUGAACCAGGUUUAAAAGUCACUACUGCAACACAGAGCUCAGACUGGGAAAUAUCUCAAAUAUUUGUCUUGGUCUAGGACAGAUUUUGCAGGCUGCAAGGAUCUCUUUUCUGCUGCAGCUCUUUCCUGCUAAGUCAUGGAGACAGUUCUGAACUAACUCAGAUAUAUUCUGAAAAGCUCCCCACAGCUGUGCUAUGCACAGCUGUACUUUGUCUAAGCUCGUAGCAGGGUUAGAUCCCUACAUCUCUUGUUGUCUCCCUUAUAACCUACAUUAAUUACCUUUGCUGACUACAAGCACAGUUAAAGCAGGACACCACAGAAGUGAAGGAACCUCUUCUUUCAAAAAGGCUUCAGACAAGUUCAGGGAGCCAAUGCCCACAUUAGCAGUAGUACAGCUUCUUCAGUACAGCUCAAUGGCUUUGCAAGGAGAAAAAAAGAGCAUAAUGAGCUGACACUGCAAGGUGAUUGCAUAGCCACUUCUGUGCUGUAAGCUGUGAGCCUAGAGGAAAUGGUACAGAGUCCAUAAAUAAAGGCUGAGGCAGUGUGUGCUUGUCUCUCCGAGUAGAUUCUUCUUAAAAGUCUCUUUUCCAUAUGAUGUGAUGCAUUGAGAAUGAAGAAUGAAUGCAAAGGCUGCUGGUGUUUCACACAGGUAACAGAGGAGGGUCUAACACUGAGUAAAAAGGAUCUGCCAAGUCCCACCUCUUUGGAGAGGCACGGGUACUUGAGAGAAGUUAGCUUAAAGCAGAAGAAUCACAGGAAUAGGCGCGUGUGUGGCAGUUUGAAGUUGUUAAUUUUAAAAUUAGAUUAUUUCUUAAAAAUCUGUGAGUUUGUAAUUAUUUUUUUUUAAAUCCCUGGUAAUAAAAUAUAAUACUUUAAAUAUUUUUGUUUUAUGAACACUGAUGGUGGACACUACCUAAACACACCACAAAUGUCAAAAGCUGAGAAACAAACAGGAUUUUCUAAAAUUCAUGUGGCCUAGCUUUUCAGUGUGUUUUCAGCUACAGAUCUGAUGUUAAAAACCUGAUGUUGACAGUUGACAACUUGUGCUGUUAUGUAAAUACACAAUGUUUAACAAAUAAAAAAAAAUGCCCCUCUGGCUUUGAA